rnacentral:lncRNA from 1 species
AAAGCUUUUACUUAAAGAAAAUAAAUAGUCUAAUCAGAGAGAAUGAAGCAUUAAAAGGGGUUUUUACGUGCAUUUUUCUAGUCCAUUACAACUUUUCAAAUCAAUGAGGUAAGAUAUAUUUAUGUGCAAGUGUUUUCGUUUCAUUAUGCCUUUAUAUUUAAUUAAAGACUAGCUAUGACAAUUUACCCUGUCCCGCCCUGCCUUGCCCCUCCCCUUCCUGAAUGGCGCAAAGAAACCUGCCCCCGACAGGUUACAGUCCCGCCCCGUGAAUAUUAAAAAAAAUAGUUUUUUUUAAUAUUGUUUUUUCGAGUGUUUCUUUGAAUAUUGAUGUUAAUUUGAGCAUUAUUUGUUUUAAAUUUUUAAAUUUUGAAUUUGUAUUUUAUAACUUAAUAGUAUAACUCGAAAUUUUCAAAAUGUGUAAAUAAAAACAUAAAUAAAUAAAAAUUAAAUUAAAUGGAGCAGUAAAUGGGGCAAAAAACUGCCCCGGCCCCACCCGCGACCCGCGACCCGCCCCGUCCCGCCCGUUUAAGUCUCGUCCCAACCCCGCCCCGCCGCGUUGCUAUCACUAUUAAAGAUGUAUGAAUUGCUAGAGGACCUUCGGGUUCUUUUAGAGAGAGAGAUAAAAUCUUACGAGAUUUUAAGAGGACCUAGGAUGAGAGUGUCGCUUGGAAACCUAUAUACUCUAUAAGAGCAGAGUUGUAUAAAAUAUAGAUUUUAUUGUGAUGUAUUUAUAUAUGAAAACUGAUGUAUCUUACUAAGUUUUUUCGAAUACUCACUCUUACAAAUUUUUACAAGUUUGUUCAGGUCGAUUGGAAUUGUGGCGGGAUGGUAAUGCGAGCUGCCAAGAUGAAAAAAUAUUUAUUAAGUUUUUUUCUGUCUUUCAAUUAAUUAGUUUGAUUUGUUCUAAAAAAAUAAAAAUGUUAUUGAAUUAGUUAGUUGAGUGUGUUUAUUUUAAAUAUACGAUUACCGUGUUUUAAGUUAAGUUUGUGAAGGUUUUAUUAUCUAUAAAAUAAUUUUAUUUUUAUAG